rnacentral:lncRNA from 1 species
AUGCCCCUCUCAAAACAUUUAGACCUAGGAAUACAUAUAGUCCAUUGGUUCACGCCAGACCUGUCUGCCCUUGACCAGCACAAAAACAUCCUGUGGCGUUCUGCAUUAGCAUCGAAUAGCCCCCGUGAUAUGCAACUUUUCAGGGAAGUUAGAAACAAAUAUACACAGGCAGUUAGAAAAGCUAAGGCAAGCUUUUUCAAACAGAAAUUUGCAUCCUGUAGUACUAACUCAAAAAAGUUCUGGGACACUGUAAAGUCCAUGGAGAAUUUGAGCACCUCCUCCCAGCUACCCACUGCUCUCAGGCUAGGAAACACUGUCACCACCGAUAAAUCCACUAUAAUUGAGAAUUUCAAUAAGCAUUUCUCUACAGCUGGCCAUGCUUUCCACAUGGCUACCUCUACCCCGGUCAAUUGCCCGGCACCCUCCACAGCAACCCGCCAAAGCCCCCACCAUUUCUCCUUUACCCAAAUCCAGAUAGCUGAUGUUCUGAAAGAGCUGCAAAAUCUGGACCCCUACAAAUCAGCUGGGAUAGACAAUCUGGACACUCUCUUUCUAAAAUUAUCUGCCGAAAUUGUUGCAACCCCUAUUACUAGCCUGUUCAUCCUCUCUUUCGUAUUGUCUGAGAUUCCCAAAGAUUGGAAAGCUGCCGCGGUCAUCCCCCUCUUCAAAGGGGGUGACACUCUAGACCCAAACUGCUACAGACCUAUAUCUAUCCUACCCUGUCUUUCUAAGGUCUUCGAAAGCCAAGUUAACAAACAGAUUACUGACCAUUUUGAAUCCCACCAUACCUAUAACAAAGCAUCCUUCACUCAUGCUGCCAAACAUACCCUCGUAAAACUGACCAUCCUACCGAUCCUCGACUUCGGUGAUGUCAUCUAUAAAAUAGCCUCCAACACUCUACUCAACAAACUGGAUCCAGUCUAUCACAGUGAUAUCCGUUUUGUCACCAAAGCCCCAUACACUACCCACCAUUGCGACCUGUACGCUCUCAUUUCUUGGCCCUCGCUUCAUACUCGUCGCCAAACCCACUGGCUACAGGUUAUCUACAAGUCUCUGCUAGGUAAAGCCCCGACUUCUCAGCUCAGCUCACUGGUCACCAUAGCAGCACCCACUCGUAGCACGCGCUCCAGCAGGUUUAUCUCACUGGUCACCCCCAAAGCCAAUUCCUCCUUUGGUCGUCUUUCCUUCCAGUUCUCUGCUGCCUAUGACUGGAACGAUUUGCAAAAAUCUCUGAAGCUGGAGACUCACAUUUCCCUCACUAGCUUUAAGCACCAGCUGUCAGAGCAGCUUACAGAUCACUGCACCUGUACAUAG